AUUGAACGCUGGCGGCAUGCCUUACACAUGCAAGUCGAACGGCAGCACGGGGGCAACCCUGGUGGCGAGUGGCGAACGGGUGAGUAAUAUAUCGGAACGUUCCCUGGAGUGGGGGAUAACGUAGCGAAAGUUACGCUAAUACCGCAUACGAUCUAAGGAUGAAAGUGGGGGAUCUUCGGACCUCAUGCUCAUGGAGUGGCCGAUAUCUGAUUAGCUAGUUGGUGAGGUAAAGGCUCACCAAGGCGACGAUCAGUAGCUGGUUUGAGAGAACGACCAGCCACACUGGAACUGAGACACGGUCCAGACUCCUACGGGAGGCAGCAGUGGGGAAUUUUGGACAAUGGGGGGCAACCCUGAUCCAGCAAUGCCGCGUGAGUGAAGAAGGCCUUCGGGUUGUAAAGGCUCUGUCGUAUGGG
rnacentral:rRNA from 1 species